UACGAAGGGGGCUAGCGUUGUUCGGAUUUACUGGGCGUAAAGCGCACGUAGGCGGAUACUUAAGUCAGGGGUGAAAUCCCGGGGCUCAACCCCGGAACUGCCUUUGAUACUGGGUAUCUCGAGUCCGGAAGAGGUGAGUGGAAUUCCGAGUGUAGAGGUGAAAUUCGUAGAUAUUCGGAAGAACACCAGUGGCGAAGGCGGCUCACUGGACCGGCAUUGACGCUGAGGUGCGAAAGCGUGGGGAGCAAACAGG
rnacentral:rRNA from 1 species